CAUCUUUGGAUUUGGUAAAAAUGCAGCUUCUAAUUCAGCCUAAGAUUCUGCAUUUCUAACAAGCUCCAGGGAGAUG
rnacentral:miRNA from 1 species